UCACUGACACACACAACAAUCUUCAUCAACAUGACCUUCAUCAUCAUCUUCAUCUGGACUCUCACAGCGUUUGCUCAAGAGAGUAGAGGACAGAUCAGCGUCACUCAGAGUCCCUCAACGACAGCAGCUCAACCAGAAGAAACAGUCAAAAUCAACUGUAGAACCAGCAGAGAUGUGCACAGAUGGAGUGAUGGGGAUGAAGGUUUAGCCUGGUAUUUACAGAAACCCGGAGAAGCUCCUAAACUCUUGAUUCGUUAUGCAAACACUCUCCAGUCAGGAACUCCAUCUAGAUUCAGUGGCAGUGGA